rnacentral:tRNA from 1 species
GGAAAUAUGCCUGAAGUAAAAGGGCCACUUUGAUAGAGUGGACCAUGGGGAUUAAUCCCCCCUAUUUCCU